rnacentral:rRNA from 1 species
UUGGAGGGCAAGUCUGGUGCCAGCAGCCGCGGUAAUUCCAGCUCCAAUAGCGUAUAUUAAAGUUGUUGCAGUUAAAAAGCUCGUAGUUGAAUUUCGGGGUUUAUACGUUGGUCGGGCUUUUGGGUCUGUACUGGCGUAAUGAAUUCCUACCUUCUGAAUAACCAGCAUGUCAUUAAUUUGAUGCGCCGGGGAAGCAGGACUGUUACCUUGAAAAAAUUAGAGUGCUUAAAGCAGGCUAUUGCCUGAAUACAUUAGCAUGGAAUAAUGAAAUAGGACGGCAUGGUUCUAUUUUGUUGGUUUCUAGGAUCACCGUAAUGAUUAAUAGGGAUAGUUGGGGGCAUUAGUAUUCAAUUGUUAGAGGCGAAAUUCUUGGAUUUAUUGAAGACUAACUUCUGCGAAAGCAUUUGCCAAGGAUGUUUUCACUAAUCAAGGACGAAAGUUAGGGGAUCGAAGACGAUCAGAUACCGUCGUAGUCUUAACCAUAAACUAUGCCGACUAGGGAUCGGACGAUGUUAAUUUUUUAAUGACUCGUUCGGCGCCUUACGGGAAAC